UUACGACCAUAUCACGUUGAAACACCGGUUCUCGAGCGAUCAUAAAAGUUAAGCAACGUUGAACUUGGUCAGUAUCUAGAUGGGUGACCGCUUGGAAAUUUCAGGAG